UACGGAGGGGGCUAGCGUUGUUCGGAAUUACUGGGCGUAAAGCGCGCGUAGGUGGUAAUGCAAGUCAGAUGUGAAAGCCCGGGGCUUAACCUCGGAACGGCAUUUGAAACUGCAUUGCUAGAGAUCGGUAGAGGGUAGUGGAAUUCCCAGUGUAGAAGUGAAAUUCGUGGAUAUUGGGAGGAACACCGGAGGCGAAGGCGGCUACCUGGACCGGAUCUGACACUGAGGUGCGAAAGCGUGGGGAGCAAACAGG
rnacentral:misc_RNA from 1 species